rnacentral:rRNA from 1 species
AUUGAACGCUGGCAGCAGGCCUAACACAUGCAAGUCGAACGAGUGGCGGACGGGUGAGUCAUGUCUGGGACACUGCCUGAUGGAGGGGGAUAACUACUGGAAACGGUAGCUAAUCCCGCAUACCAUCGGAUGUGCCCAGAUGGGAUUAGCUAGUAGGUGGGGUAAAGGCUCACCUAGGCGACGAUCCCUAGCUGGUCUGGGAGGAUGACCGGCCACACGGGAACGGAGAAACGGCCCAGACUCCGACGGGAGGAAGCAGUGGGGAAUAUUGCACAAUGGGCGCAAGCCGGAUACAGCCAGGCCGCGUGUAUGAAGAAGGCCUUCGGGUUUUAAAGUACUUUCAGCGGGGAGGCGGUACCCGCAGAAGAAGCACCGGCUAACUCCGUGCCAGCCGCCGCGGUAAUAC